AUGGCAUUAUCAACUUCAUUUUUGGGUAAUAAGCAAGAUAGAUUAAGGCACAACAGAGUUGUGCAAUAUGCUUGGUUCAGAGGAAGAGAGCUCGACCGUUGCAGACAAUUGUCAAUUAAUACAAAGGCAUCAACUUCUAGGGAUCAUGCAUCUUCGCCUUCGUUUUCCCAUAAGAGACAUGGGUCACCUACUGAGGCACCCAAGGCACACCAGGCACUCGAGGCACCCCAGAACCCCAGGGAUUUGGAGGAGGCAUGUCCGACUUAUCAAUGA